GUUGCUACAGAAAAAUAUUUUUUACGGCAAUCGCAUUAUUUCAGGUAACUUGUUGAAAGAGCUGAAAUAAAAUAGUUUCUUAAUUAGUUUGACGAUUCAGAAUAAAAAAAUUGUUUACAAAAGGAUAUUAACGAAUUUCGUCUUUUGAUCAUUCGUCUUCAGUGAGGAAACAAAAGCUGUGAUUCUUAAAAAUUAAAAAUGAAUAGGGAAAGAAGAAGAGGAAGGUACAUAUCACCACAUGGCUCGAAAACGUGGGAAUACCUCUCAAUAUUCGCUUGAUGGAAUUCACCAAUGGUCGUGUUGUUAUCAUCACCGGAUUCGCCUAUUCAUGAUAAUAAAUUGGAUAUUUCAACUUUAACGGCUUUGCUAUCAACCGGUCAAAUGCUAGCACCAGUGAUAAAUGUAUUAGUAACUGACAAAAUUGGAAGAAAAUAUACAAUUUUAUUGUGCAGUCUCCCACUCGUUGCAAGCUGGAGUAUAAUCUUAAUGACAAAAAGCGCAUACAUGUGGUACGUAGCAAGAUUUUUGUCUGGCAUCUCUGUAGGAGUAGGAUUCGUCGUAGCUCCAAUAUACUUAGGC
rnacentral:misc_RNA from 1 species